UACGUAGGUGGCAAGCGUUGUCCGGAAUUAUUGGGCGUAAAGCGCGCGCAGGCGGCCUUUUAAGUCUGAUGUGAAAGCCCACGGCUCAACCGUGGAAGGUCAUUGGAAACUGAAAGGCUUGAGUACAGAAGAGGAAAGCGGAAUUCCACGUGUAGCGGUGAAAUGCGUAGAGAUGUGGAGGAACACCAGCGGCGAAGGCGGCAUCCUGGCCCUGUACUGACGCUGAGGCGCGAUAGCGUGGGGAGCAAACGGG
rnacentral:rRNA from 1 species